UACGAAGGGGGCAAGCGUUGUUCGGAAUUACUGGGCGUAAAGGGCGCGUAGGCGGCCGAUCAAGUCAGGCGUGAAAUUCCCGGGCUCAACCUGGGGGCUGCGCUUGAUACUGAUUGGCUUGGAUGCGGGAGAGGAUAGUGGAAUUCCCAGUGUAGAGGUGAAAUUCGUAGAUAUUGGGAAGAACACCGGUGGCGAAGGCGGCUAUCUGGCCCGUAAUUGACGCUGAGGCGCGAAAGCGUGGGGAGCAAACAGG
rnacentral:rRNA from 1 species